rnacentral:rRNA from 1 species
UACGGAGGGUGCAAGCGUUAUCCGGAUUCACUGGGUUUAAAGGGUCCGUAGGCGGUUUAAUAAGUCAGUGGUGAAAGCCCAUCGCUCAACGGUGGAACGGCCAUUGAUACUGUUAAACUUGAAUUAUUAGGAAGUAACUAGAAUAUGUAGUGUAGCGGUGAAAUGCUUAGAGAUUACAUGGAAUACCAAUUGCGAAGGCAGGUUACUACUAAUGGAUUGACGCUGAUGGACGAAAGCGUGGGUAGCGAACAGG